rnacentral:lncRNA from 1 species
GUGAAUACCUUAUGGUGGCUGAUAGUUUGUGCAAUUGAAGUAAGUUAGCCAUGCCUGUACACAGUUUAUUGACAUUUCAGUUUUCAUGUACAUUGCUGGUAUAUAACUUUUAAAAGAGAGCGAAAUCUUUGUUUUUGUGUACAAGUUGGAGGGUUUUUUGUUAGUGGAUUGGUUUCAAGCAGCAUUUAGGGUGCUUUAUGUUUGAUAUCACCUGUCGGAAAGAUGUUUCAUUCUCAGAAGCCAUCCUGAUUUCUGUGUGUACUUUUCAGGAUUCUGGGGAGAGCGCCCAGGCAUGGUGGACUUACUGAUAAGCUGCACUGCCAUGUAAGUACUUUGAACUUGAUAUGUUUCCAAAAUUGUAAAGGUUUCUUAGUGGUGAAUUUUUAUGAUUGAAAUCUACCUGCUGGUGUGCUUCUAGUGCAUGCUUUGUUCCUCUUUACUCUUUAGGUGUAAAUUGAUGUGAUUCAAACAUAGUACUCAACUAGGGUUCUAUUGUUGGGAAGUCUAGGCUUGCUGCCAGUUCCUGAACUUAAGCAAAUCUUGUAGUCAAGUUUUAACCCUGUAUAUGCUGUCUUGUUUUUCAUUUCAAUUUAAACAGUAAUGCAGUUCAGACCACAUGUCAUACACACACAAAAAAUCCCUAUAUGCCACUCCAUGGCACACAAGGGAUGAAAAUAAAUUUUGAUGGCAUUACAGGAAUUAGUCAUAUGCAAUACGAGAACCAAUAGUUUGAAAUAUCCUUCCUUUUGAAAAAAAGUACUCUACAAUAUCUGGAUCUACAAUUCAGAUUUCAACUGACUUUCAUGCUGGGUAUGUCAUGCAAUGCAACAACUGAUAAGUCUACAAUAUCAAAAUGUGCAAUUCAGACUUCCACUGCUUUUCACUUUGUAUGUUUUAUAAUAUGCAGCUUAUAUUAGGGUAUCCCUUAGAAUGCUUUGUCCUAAGCAACUUCAUUGAUGCAGCAGAUGGGCAUUGCUGUUGUCGUUAAAAGGCAGCAGAUGCUAGAAUGAUUUUUUUGUGGAAGAUUCGAAAAUGAUUAAUUUGGAGAGAAAAGGUACAAAAUAGCAUUCUAGCGUGUGACACCAGUUCGAUAAUGGCAAUUGGGCGAAUCCCAAUUGUGCGGGAUGGUAAACAAGCAGAACCUAAGUUUGGUAAUGGCAAAAUCCCAAUUUUCUCUCUGUUUGAACUUUGAACUGUGUGCUUUCUCAUGUAAAGAAAACUGUGAAUUCUGUUGUCAAGGAGCCUAUUUGUGCAUAGGAAUAAACUAG